rnacentral:rRNA from 1 species
UACGAGCCGUACAAGCGUUAUUCGGAAUCACUGGGCUUAAAGGGUGCGUAGGCGGCCAUGUAAGUGGGGUGUGAAAUCCCUCGGCUCAACCGAGGAACUGCGCUCCAUACUGCAUGGCUUGAGGGAGACAGGGGUAAGCGGAACUGAUGGUGGAGCGGUGAAAUGCGUUGAUAUCAUCAGGAACACCGGUGGCGAAAGCGGCUUACUGGGUCUCUUCUGACGCUGAGGUACGAAAGCUAGGGGAGCGAACGGG